GUUGAACAGGCGCCGGUAGCUCUGCUCCAGCCCCCACUCCAUUGCGACCAGAUGACUCAGGUCUGGCCCCAGGUCGUCCGCUCGGGGAAGAUCCAGCAGGGUUUCCCUGAUGUUGUGGAUGUCCCAGAACCGAAACUCUGUGGGGCAUCCAAAGUCAUCGCCCUCCUCAUAGGCCUCCCACAGUAAGCCUGGGCCAUUAUAAUCCUCUCCCUCGGGCAGAUAGUGGUUAGUCAUCGAGGGGCUGCGCUGGGUGGCGUACCACUUUAAUGCCCGGUAAGCUGCAUCUAGCCACAACUCCUUCCAAAUUAAAUCCCAGAGUUCCAACAACCAUUCAUCCAAGGGUUGCUCCCCUAGGAAAGGGGAGCGCAGGGCCUCGAGUACCUGGAACCGCUGCUCGUCACUGGGAAGGCUCUCUCCCCGCCGCCGUUGUACCUUUUCCAGGGCAUCGCGCCACAUCUCCGUACGAGUGACAUCUCUCCAGUCCAGUAUGCACUCCUCUGAUACAGGCCCGUCCUGUUGGGCCAAGUGCUGCUGCAAC